GACUCAAGGGCACAACGGUUAGUGCGCUUAUUUCAUGAUCUCUCGAAAGUAAGAAACCUCGUGUUCGAUUCACGGGCGGGUCA